rnacentral:lncRNA from 1 species
UUUUUUUUAUAUUGAACAAACUUCAAAUUGAUUAUUAAAGUUAAAAUGAAAUUAAAAUUAAUUUAUUUUAAUUAUGAUAAAUUAUUAUACUAUUUUAGAUUAGAUAUAUAUUUUAUGUAUAUACUAUGCAUAAAAUAUAAAUUAUGUUUUCCUUGUUAAAUGUUAUUAUAUUUUCUUUUAAAUAAAAAAAGUAUUUUUUUUUUGUUUUUUCUUAAUU